rnacentral:rRNA from 1 species
GAUGAACGCUGACAGAAUGCUUAACACAUGCAAGUCAACUUGAACUUCGGUUUGGGUGGCGGACGGGUGAGUAACGCGUAAAGAACUUGCCUCACAGCUAGGGACAACAUUUGGAAACGAAUGCUAAUACCUGAUAUUAUGAUUAUAUGGCAUCGUAUAAUUAUGAAAGCUAUAUGCGCUGUGAGAGAGCUUUGCGUCCCAUUAGCUAGUUGGAGAGGUAACAGCUCACCAAGGCGAUGAUGGGUAGCCGGCCUGAGAGGGUGAUCGGCCACAAGGGGACUGAGACACGGCCCUUACUCCUACGGGAGGCAGCAGUGGGGAAUAUUGGACAAUGGAUCGAGAGUCUGAUCCAGCAAUUCUGUGUGCACGAUGAAGUUUUUCGGAAUGUAAAGUGCUUUCAGUUGGGAAGAAAAAAAUGACGGUACCAACAGAAGAAGUGACGGCUAAAUACGUG